UACGUAGGGUGCAAGCGUUAAUCGGAAUUACUGGGCGUAAAGCGUGCGCAGGCGGUUUUGUAAGUCUGUCGUGAAAUCCCCGGGCUCAACCUGGGAAUUGCGAUGGAGACUGCAAGGCUAGAAUCUGGCAGAGGGGGGUAGAAUUCCACGUGUGAGCAGUGAAAUGCGUAGAGAUGUGGAGGAACACCGAUGGCGAAGGCAGCCCCCUGGGUCAAGAUUGACGCUCAUGCACGAAAGCGUGGGGGAGCAAACGAGGAUUA
rnacentral:rRNA from 1 species